rnacentral:rRNA from 1 species
UAGGGAAUCUUCCGCAAUGGGCGAAAGCUUGACGGAGCAACGCCGCGUGAGUGAUGAAGGUCUUCGGAUCGUAAAACUCUGUUAUUAGGGAAGAACAAAUGUGUAAGUAACUAUGCACGUCUUGACGGUACCUAAUCAGAAAGCCACGGCUAACUACGUGCCAGCAGCCGCGGUAAUACGUAGGUGGCAAGCGUUAUCCGGAAUUAUUGGGCGUAAAGCGCGCGUAGGCGGUUUUUUAAGUCUGAUGUGAAAGCCCACGGCUCAACCGUGGAGGGGCAUUGGAAACUGGAAAACUUGAGUGCAGAAGAGGAAAGUGGAAUUCCAUGUGUAGCGGUGAAAUGCGCAGAGAUAUGGAGGAACACCAGUGGCGAAGGCGACUUUCUGGUCUGUAACUGACGCUGAUGUGCGAAAGCGUGGGGAUCAAACAGG